GAGCAUGAGCAAUGAGAGAGUUCAAGUCGUCUGCUGUCAGCUUGCCAGCUGAAGAGAGAAGACGGUUAGAUACAUCAAACUGUAAAAAGGACACCAGACCUUUAUAAUCUAAUUAUCUGCAUGAACAAAGCAGAGCCAAAUGAAACACUGGAAUAGCUGAAAAGAAUACUGCAGCAAAUAUUUUGGUCUGAAUAUAAAGGAUGAAGUCUGCCGGCAAACGCAUUCAUGUUAAAACUAGUACUGGUAGGUUUGAUAUUGAAGGGUCUUACAGCACACAAAUACCUAAUUUAUCCUAAGCAAGCCUCUCUCCAAUGUCAGCAGGAACCACCCGAUGCAUAGUAUUUGUGUAGUAUGUGCAUGCGUGAUAUACAAGAUGGGCAUUUACUGCAACAUGCUCCCCACUGGUCAAUUUGCUGAGGCUACAGAGGGGUUGGUGUAAGCAGAAAACAGAUGUUUUGCUCUUGGGGCUUUAAUAACUGACUCUUCUGCUAUAAUAUAUUUUCUCACUGGUGGCAUAGGUCUAAGUGACCGAUUUUUACAUUCAGUCCUACAUUCCAUUCCAGCCAUUCCAGACAGCUUAGGGAUAUGUUUUUACUCAUGUCACCGUCACAUAUGACUAGAGGUGCACUGAUGAUUAUCUACACUCACAGCCUUGUGAUUGUCAAAACAUAUCAUCUUCUUUUUAGUAACACACCAAACUAGAGCUAAUUCUAGUUAAUCUUAGAAGUAAAAAUCCAAACAAUUGAAGCAACUUGGAUACAUGUUCUUGCCAUCCCAUUCCCAAGAAGAAAUGCACAAGACACACAGCGCUUACAGAAAACAGACAUGAGAAAAGAACUCACCGAUAUCAGUUAUCUCUGCAAGAGAAAAUGAAGGUUUGGAAAAAUCAAUGCAUGUCCACAGAAGCAGAUCAACAAGCUGUUAAAAGCAUGCAGGAGUGGAACAGCACAGAUGCAGACAAUUCAAUCAUUAAUAAAUAGUAUACUUGAAA